UUGAACGCUGGCGGCAGGCCUAACACAUGCAAGUCGAGCGGAUGAAGGGAGCUUGCUCCUGGAUUCAGCGGCGGACGGGUGAGUAAUGCCUAGGAAUCUGCCUGGUAGUGGGGGAUAACGUCCGGAAACGGGCGCUAAUACCGCAUACGUCCUGAGGGAGAAAGAGGGGGAUCUUCGGACCUCACGCUAUCAGAUGAGCCUAGGUCGGAUUAGCUAGUUGGUGGGGUAAAGGCCUACCAAGGCGACGAUCCGUAACUGGUCUGAGAGGAUGAUCAGUCACACUGGAACUGAGACACGGUCCAGACUCCUACGGGAGGCAGCAGUGGGGAAUAUUGGACAAUGGGCGAAAGCCUGAUCCAGCCAUGCCGCGUGUGUGAAGAAGGUCUUCGGAUUGUAAAGCACUUUAAGUUGGGAGGAAGGGCAGUAAGUUAAUACCUUGCUGUUUUGACGUUACCAACAGAAUAAGCACCGGCUAACUUCGUG
rnacentral:rRNA from 1 species